GAGGCACAAGAAUUUCCGACUACAGAGAAAGAAAGUGGCUGUUGAUGGCAUGGUAUCACACAUAGAGGCACAAGAAUUUCCGACUACAGAGAAAGAAAUUGGCUGUUGAUGGCAUGGUAUCAUACAUAGAGGCACAAGAAUUUCCGACUAGAGAGAAAGAAAGUGGCUGUUGAAGGCAUGGUAUCACACACACAGGCACAAGAAUUUCCGACUAGAGAGAAAGAAAGUGGCUGUUGAAGGCAUGGUAUCACACAUACAGGCACAAGAAUUUCCGACUAGAGAGAAAGAAAGUGGCUGUUGAAGGCAUGGUAUCACACAUAGAGACACAAGAAUUUCCGACUAGAGAGAAAGAAAGUGGCUGUUGAAGGCAUGGUAUCAUACACAGAGGCACAAGAAUUUCCGACUAGAGAGAAAGAAAGUGGCUGUUGAUGGCAUGGUAUCACACACACAGAAACAAGAAUUUCCGACUACAGAGAAAGAAAGUGGCUGUUGAUGGCAUGGUAUCAUACAUAGAGGCACAAGAAUUUCCAAACUUUGAGACUGAUUGUUGAAGAUAAAAUAUUCCAGGGCUGCCAGGAAGGCAGAAUAAAUUUCCGUCCAACCUACAAGUUUGAUGUAAACAUGGACACCUACGACACAUCAUACAAAAACAGAAUUCCUUCCUAGACUGAUCGUAUUUUGUUCUGCUGCAAGAAAAAGGAUACAAUCUCAUGUGUCCAUUAUGAUGCUGUGACCAGUGUUAAGGUGUCCGACCACAAACCAGUGUUUUCCUGUGUUUCAGAUAGUAAUCAAGCCUGGCAAGAACACAUAAGUAUUGCAUGGAAUUUUAUUUUAAAACAACCUAGUAUAUAGUUAACUUGACAGUUUAAUAAAAAUAAAACUAAUUAAUCCAAUGUCAUGACUCUUUACUUUUGUAUGAAAAAAUACAGUCUUUGGCUGUUACUGGUAGAAACUUUGUAGUAAGUAACUUUAAAUAUGUAGUAGUGAGGUCAAAUAACUUAAGUUAGUAAAUUACCUUCACCAGCCCAGAGACAAAUGGAAAAAUGUUUGGUGAUUGUAAUGGUUUUGUACAUAAAUUAUACAAAACUGUAUUCAGAACAGUUUUGCUAAAUGCAUUGAGAAUAAAAAAUUAAUAUUUUUCAGUUUCAGUUUGGCACCUGGUCAUUUUGCCGAGCAGUGUACACAGAAGCAAACAAGAGACGAGCAAGUAACAUGAUGGAGAACAAGCAACUCGACACCAGACACAGUGCUUUGUGUUCCAUACAAUGACAAUAAAAACGACAGCUAAAAUUGUAUCACAGUUUUAGAUGAAUCCUGCAUCAGAUAACCUUGAAACAGUGUCAGUUAUGGGCAGCUGUUUUUGUAAUGUCUGUCAAAAUAUAUUUAAUGACACCCAAACACUUGAAAAACAAACCAAACCCCAGGAAUAUACUAUGUAGUUAGAGGCCUUUCUUGAUUAUCAGUAUUUUCACAAACAUAUAAAGCAUAAUCAUUUUUUUGCUACAUUUUGUUUUUAAGGUGUAGACUUGUAUUAUACCCCUCCUCUCCACAUUUGGUUUGUACUUGUAAAAAUAUUGAUAAUAUUUGUGAACAGUCUCUUCGUUAAAAUUGCAUAUUAGUGCUUAAAUCUACAAAACCAAUAAAUGUACAUUAACAGAUAGCGACAGACGUAUCCUGCAGCCAUCAGUUGUGUUGGCAGGUAAUGAUGAUUGAUCAAAGUAAAGUGAUAAACUGCUACAAGUAAAUCAUUCCAUGGUGAAUUCUACUUAUCAUGCCCUAUUGCAUUCAUCAUUCUUACUUUCACAGUGUAACCGCAACAUCCUACAUGUUAAAGGAACGCUAAAUUAAGGCUUUUUGACUGCUACAUACUUUCAUCUAAUAGAUGUUUUCUAUAUCAAUUUUAAAAAAUUGCAUAUUUAAUUAAAUGACACUUUCGCUAUUUAGUAGAUGCAACCAUUGUUUUAACGUUUAACAUUGAAUGCCACCUUGUGAGCAGGCAUUGUAUUAGUUCUGUGAUGUCUACAUCACCUUGUCUGUCAGUCAAGACUGGUCAGUAUAGUUUGGUCCCAGUGUUUUUCUGACAACAAACACUUCGAUUUCAGACUGCAUAAAUGAACAGUGGGGAGACAUUUUCUUUAAUUUGGGUUGACUUUUUUUUUAAAUACAGUAGAAUCUCAUUGGCUCGAACACUGUCGGUGCAUCAAAGUCUGUUCGACCCAUCGGGUAGUUCGAACCACGCAUUCAGCCGUUGUCGGGUGCUUGUGUAACACAACAAUCAAUCGGACAACCUCGCAUGUUUCCGUAAAACCUGCUUGGGCGAGAUGAUCGGAUUGACUCAUGAAUUGAUUGGUGUUACUUGCAAGGUUCAUUCAUCUAACGAUUACCGCAUUACAAUUGCAAGAUAAUUAACGACAGGUGCUAAAUAAACAACACGAUAAGCGUGAAAGGGUCGACGAAAAAAUUAUACAUAAAUUAUUUUUUAUAUUUCUUCGGAUAAACGUAGCCGUUCGAGCUAAAUAUGUUUAAUUUUACAGUUCGGACUAAUAAACUGGUUCGAGAGAAAGCUUCUGUUCGACCCCAGGGGUAUUCGACCAAUCAGCACCAAAAUAAAGGGGUUUAAUAGAGAGAAAAAUCGGGACUUUGCUCUUGGUUCGAGAAUACCGGUAGGUUCGACCGUAGGGCGUUCGAGCCAUUGAGAUUCUACUGUACGUAUAUUGAUGUAGGAACUUUGGAUUGGCAUCUCCAUAAAAUAGUAAUAAAUUCUGGUCAAGCACUUUUUUAUUUUUAAAUACAUAUAUUGAUGUAUGAACAUUUGAUAGGCAUUUUUCCAACAAAGAAUGCUUAUUUUUCAUAAUACUCCUGCUUUAACCUAUUCUUCUCUGUAUACAGCCUGUUGCAGUGGCAUCCCCAUAGUGCUCACUUGGCAUGCUUAUAAUACUCCUGCUUUAACCUAUUCUUCUCUGUAUACAGGCUGUUGCAGUGGCAUCCCCAUAGUGCUCACUUGGCAUGCUUAUAAUACUCCUGCUUUAACCUGUUCUUCUCUGUAUACAGGCUGUUGCAGUGGCAUCCCCAUAGUGCUCACUUGGCAUGCUUAUAAUACUCCUGCUUUAACCUGUUCUUCUCUGUAUACAGGCUGUUGCAGUGGCAUCCCCAUAGUGCUCACUUGGCAUGCUUAUAAUACUCCUGCUUUAACCUGUUCUUCUCUGUAUACAGGCUGUUGCAGUGGCAUCCCCAUAGUGCUCACUUGGCAUGCUUAUAAUACUCCUGCUUUAACCUAUUCUUCUCUGUAUACAGGCUGUUGCAGUGGCAUCCCCAUAGUGCUCACUUGGCAUGCUUAUAAUACUCCUGCUUUAACCUAUUCUUCUCUGUAUACAGCCUGUUGCAGUGGCAUCCCCAUAGUGCUCACUUGGCA